ACCAGGAUUCCCCUAGUAACUGCGAGUGAAGCGGGAAAAGCUCAAAUUUAAAAUCUGGCGGUCUUUGGCCGUCCGAGUUGUAAUCUAGAGAAGUAAUGCCCGUGCUGGACCGUGUAUAAGUCUCCUGGGAUGGGGCGUCAUAGAGGGUGAGAAUCCCGUCUUUGACACGGACUACCAGUGCAUUGUGGUAUGCUCUCAAAGAGUCGAGUUGUUUGGGAAUGCAGCUCAAAAUGGGUGGUAAAUUCCAUCUAAAGCUAAAUAUUGGCGAGAGACCGAUAGCGAACAAGUACCGUGAGGGAAAGAUGAAAAGAACUUUGGAAAGAGAGUUAAACAGUACGUGAAAUUGCUGAAAGGGAAACGCUUGAAGUCAGUCGCGUUGGCCGGGGAUCAGCCUUGCUUUUGCAUGGUGUACUUUCUGGUUGACGGGUCAGCAUCAAUUUUGACCGCUGGAAAAGGGCCUGGGGAAUGUGGCAGCUUCGGCUGUGUUAUAGCCCCUGGUCACAUACAGCGGUUGGGAUUGAGGAACUCAGCACGCCGCAAGGCCGGGUUUCGACCACGUUCGUGCUUAGGAUGCUGGCAUAAUGGCUUUAAGCGACCCGUCUUGAAACACGGACCAAGGAGUCUAACAUGCCUGCGAGUAUUUGGGUGAAAAACCCGAGUGCGCAAUGAAAGUGAAAGUUGAGAUCCCUGUCGUGGGGAGCAUCGACGCCCGGACCAGAACUUUUGGGACGGAUCCGCGGUGGAGCAUGUAUGUUGGGACCCGAAAGAUGGUGAACUAUGCCUGAAUAGGGUGAAGCCAGAGGAAACUCUGGUGGAGGCUCGUAGCGAUUCUGACGUGCAAAUCGAUCGUCAAAUUUGGGUAUAGGGGCGAAAGACUAAUCG
rnacentral:rRNA from 1 species